rnacentral:rRNA from 1 species
AGCGUACACGGUGGAUGCCCUGGCAGUCAGAGGCGAUGAAGGACGUGCUAAUCUGCGAAAAGCGCCGGUAAGGUGAUAUGAACCGUUAUAACCGGCGAUGUCCGAAUGGGGAAACCCGGUGCACUUCGGUGCAUCAUCGUUAGCUGAAUACAUAGGCUAACGAGGCGAACCGGGGGAACUGAAACAUCUAAGUACCCCGAGGAAAAGAAAUCAACCGAGAUUCCCCCAGUAGCGGCGAGCGAACGGGGAACAGCCCAGAGCCUGAAUCAGCUUGUGUGUCAGUGGAACGGUCUGGAAAGGCCGGCGAUACAGGGUGACAGCCCCGUACACGAAGGCACACAGGCUGUGAGCUCGAUGAGUAGGGCGGGACACGUGAUAUCCUGUCUGAAGAUGGGGGGACCAUCCUCCAAGGCUAAAUACUCCUGACUGACCGAUAGUGAACCAGUACCGUGAGGGAAAGGCGAAAAGAACCCCGGCGAGGGGAGUGAAACAGAACCUGAAACCGUGUACGUACAAGCAGUGGGAGCCUUCGUAAGAGGGUGACUGCGUACCUUUUGUAUAAUGGGUCAGCGACUUAUAUUCUGUAGCAAGGUUAACCGUAUAGGGGAGCCGAAGGGAAACCGAGUCUUAAUUGGGCGUUAAGUUGCAGGGUAUAGACCCGAAACCCGGUGAUCUAGCCAUGGGCAGGUUGAAGGUUGGGUAACACUAACUGGAGGACCGAACCGACUAAUGUUGAAAAAUUAGCGGAUGACCUGUGGCUGGGGGUGAAAGGCCAAUCAAACCGGGAGAUAGCUGGUUCUCCCCGAAAGCUAUUUAGGUAGCGCCUCGUGAACUCAUCUCCGGGGGUAGAGCACUGUUUCGGCUAGGGGGCCAUCCCGGCUUACCAACCCGAUGCAAACUGCGAAUACCGGAGAAUGUUAUCACGGGAGACACACGGCGGGUGCUAACGUCCGUCGUGAAGAGGGAAACAACCCAGACCGCCAGCUAAGGUCCCAAAGUCAUGGUUAAGUGGGAAACGAUGUGGGAAGGCCCAGACAGCCAGGAUGUUGGCUUAGAAGCAGCCAUCAUUUAAAGAAAGCGUAAUAGCUCACUGGUCGAGUCGGCCUGCGCGGAAGAUGUAACGGGGCUAAACCAUGCACCGAAGCUGCGGCAGCGACACUAUGUGUUGUUGGGUAGGGGAGCGUUCUGUAAGCCUGCGAAGGUGUGCUGUGAGGCAUGCUGGAGGUAUCAGAAGUGCGAAUGCUGACAUAAGUAACGAUAAAGCGGGUGAAAAGCCCGCUCGCCGGAAGACCAAGGGUUCCUGUCCAACGUUAAUCGGGGCAGGGUGAGUCGACCCCUAAGGCGAGGCCGAAAGGCGUAGUCGAUGGGAAACAGGUUAAUAUUCCUGUACUUGGUGUUACUGCGAAGGGGGGACGGAGAAGGCUAUGUCGGCCGGGCGACGGUUGUCCCGGUUUAAGCGUGUAGGCUGACUUUCCAGGCAAAUCCGGAAGGUUAAGGCUGAGGCGUGAUGACGAGGCACCACGGUGCUGAAGUGACAAAUGCCCUGCUUCCAGGAAAAGCCUCUAAGCAUCAGGUAACAUCAAAUCGUACCCCAAACCGACACAGGUGGUCAGGUAGAGAAUACCAAGGCGCUUGAGAGAACUCGGGUGAAGGAACUAGGCAAAAUGGUGCCGUAACUUCGGGAGAAGGCACGCUGACAUGUAGGUGAAGCCCCUGCGGGUGGAGCUGAAGUCAGUCGAAGAUACCAGCUGGCUGCAACUGUUUAUUAAAAACACAGCACUGUGCAAACACGAAAGUGGACGUAUACGGUGUGACGCCUGCCCGGUGCCGGAAGGUUAAUUGAUGGGGUUAUCGCAAGAGAAGCUCCUGAUCGAAGCCCCGGUAAACGGCGGCCGUAACUAUAACGGUCCUAAGGUAGCGAAAUUCCUUGUCGGGUAAGUUCCGACCUGCACGAAUGGCGUAAUGAUGGCCAGGCUGUCUCCACCCGAGACUCAGUGAAAUUGAACUCGCUGUGAAGAUGCAGUGUACCCGCGGCAAGACGGAAAGACCCCGUGAACCUUUACUACAGCUUGACACUGAACAUUGAGCCUUGAUGUGUAGGAUAGGUGGGAGGCUUUGAAGCGUGGACGCCAGUCUGCGUGGAGCCGACCUUGAAAUACCACCCUUUAAUGUUUGAUGUUCUAACCUGGCGCCGUGAUCCGGCGUGGGGACAGUGUCUGGUGGGUAGUUUGACUGGGGCGGUCUCCUCCCAAAGUGUAACGGAGGAGCACGAAGGUCAGCUAAUCCUGGUCGGACAUCAGGAGGUUAGUGCAAUGGCAUAAGCUGGCUUGACUGCGAGAGUGACGGCUCGAGCAGGUGCGAAAGCAGGUCAUAGUGAUCCGGUGGUUCUGUAUGGAAGGGCCAUCGCUCAACGGAUAAAAGGUACUCCGGGGAUAACAGGCUGAUACCGCCCAAGAGUUCAUAUCGACGGCGGUGUUUGGCACCUCGAUGUCGGCUCAUCACAUCCUGGGGCUGAAGUAGGUCCCAAGGGUAUGGCUGUUCGCCAUUUAAAGUGGUACGCGAGCUGGGUUUAGAACGUCGUGAGACAGUUCGGUCCCUAUCUGCCGUGGGCGCUGGAGAAUUGAGGGGGGCUGCUCCCAGUACGAGAGGACCGGAGUGGACGCAUCACUGGUGUUCGGGUUGUCAUGCCAAUGGCACUGCCCGGUAGCUAAAUGCGGAAGAGAUAAGUGCUGAAAGCAUCUAAGCACGAAACUUGCCCCGAGAUGAGUUCU